AUGCAAGUCGAGCGGUAAGGCUUUCACUCUGUACUUAAAGUUUUUGAGUAUGGUGUGAAAGUACACGAGCGGCGGACGGCUGAGUAACGCGUAGGAACGUACCCCAAAGUGAGGGAUAAGCACCGGAAACGGUGUCUAAUACCGCAUGUGAUCUUCGGAUUAAAGCAUUAGGCGCUUUGGGAGCGGCCUGCGUACGAUUAGGUUAGUUGGUGAGGUAAUGGCUCACCAAGCCGACUGAUCAUUAGCUGGUCUGAGAGGAUGAUCAGCCAGACUGGGACUGAGACACGGCCCAGACCCCUACGGGGGGCAGCAGUAGGGAAUCUUUCGCAAUGGGGGAAAGCCCUGACUGGAGCGAACGCCGCGUGCAGGAGGAAGGCCUUCGGGUUGUAAACUGCUUUUAUUGUGAAGAUUAUGACGGUAGCAAUGCGAAUAAGGGACCUGCUAACUACGUGCCAGCAGCCGCGGUCAUACGUAGGUACCCAAGCGUUAUCCGGAAUUACUGGGCGUAAAGAGUUGCGUAGGUGGCAUAGUAAGCAACUAGUGAAAUGCCUACGGCUCAACCGUGUACACAUUGCCUGAACUGCUAAGCUCGAGCAUGCGGAGAGGUAGCCUGGAAUUCCUAGUGUAGGAGUGAAAUCCGUAGAUAUUAGGAGGAACACCGAUGGCGUAGGCAGGGUACUGGCCUCAUGCUGACACUAAGGCACGAAAGCGUGGGGAGCGAACGGGAUUAGAUACCCCGGUAGUCCACGCCGUAAACUAUGGAUGCCAGCAGUUAUGCAGUAUCGACCCUGCAUGUUAGCGAAGCUAACGCGUUAAGCAUCCCGCCUGUGGAGUAGCGAGCGCAAGCCUAAAACAUAAAGGAAUUGACGGGGACCCGCACAAGCGGUGGAGCGUGUUGUUUAAUUCGACGGAUAAGCGAAGAACCUUACCAAGGGUUUGACAUCCUGGCCAAGUCUUCCGAAAGGAAGAGUGCCUUCGUGAGCCGCAGUGACAGGUGAUGCAUGGCCGUCGUCAGCUCGUGUCGUGAGAUGUUUGGUUAAGUCCAUCAACGAGCGCAACCCUUAUGAGCAGUUGGAUUUUCUAUGGCUAGACUGCCCUGGUAACAGGGGAGGAAGGAGGGGACGAUGUCAGGUCAUUAUUUACCCUUACAGCCCUGGGCUACAAACACGCUACAAUGGCCGGUACAGAGGGCAUGCCAAGUCCGCGAGGGGGAGCAAAUCCCAUCAAAGCCGGUCUCAGUUCGGAUUGCAGGCUGAAAUUCGCCUGCAUGAAGCUGGAAUCGCUAGUAAUGGUAGGUCAGCACACUACCGUGAAUACGUUCCCGGGUCUUGUACACACCGCCCGUCAAGCCAUGAAAGUCGCCAAUACCCGAAGUCCAACAUUUGUUGGCCUAAGGUAGGGGAGAUGAUUGGGGUU
rnacentral:rRNA from 1 species